CCUACGGGUGGCAGCAGUGAGGAAUAUUGGUCAAUGGCCGGAAGGCUGAACCAGCCAUGCCGCGUGAAGGUCAGUGCCCUAUGGGCGUUAAACUUCUUUUGUGCGGGAGCAAUAAUGGUCACGUGUGGCCAGACGAGAGUACCGUACGAAUAAGCAUCGGCUAACGCCGUUCCAGCAGCCGCGGUAAUACGGGGGAUGCGAGCGUUAUCCGGAUUUACUGGGUGUAAAGGGGGCGCAGACGGCAGCGCAAGCCAGGAGUGAAAGCCCGGGGCCCAACCCCGGGACUGCUCUUGGAACUGCGGGGCUGGAGUGCAGGAGGGGCAGGCGGAAUUCCUGGUGUAGCGGUGAAAUGCGUAGAUAUCAGGAGGAACACCGGUGGCGAAGGCGGCCUGCUGGACUGCGACUGACGUUGAGGCCCGAAAGCGUGGGGAGCAAACAGGAUUAGAUACCCGUGUAGUC
rnacentral:rRNA from 1 species